rnacentral:rRNA from 1 species
AUGCCUAGUAAGCGCGAGUCAUCAACUCGCGUUGAUUACGUCCCUGCCGUUUGUACACACCGCCCGUCGCUCCUACCGAUUGGGUGUGCUGGUGAAAUGUUCGGAUUAGGUAGCCUACCGUCAGGGGGCCGUUUGAGAAGUUCAUUGAACCCUCUCACCUAGAGGAAGGAGAAGUCGUAACAAGGUCUCCGUAGGUGAACCUGCGGAGGGAUCCAUA